rnacentral:lncRNA from 1 species
UGGUAGCACUGUUCUAACCAAUAAUUUCUCAUCGAAUAGGAUUUAUAUCAUACCUCUAAGGGGCUAGCUUGCUAUUGAACAAAUGACUCAAGUCUAGUAGCUAAUAUCUACUUUCUUGGAGGUUUCAGAGUAUGUACCCAUUAGUUCACUUGCAAGUUUGGCCUGGAUUACUCAGUCACUGUCGGGCUUGCAAAGUCACUAGCUAUCAUGGAUUAAGUGGCUGCUUCUUUGGAACUAGCUUUCAGCCUAUAGCAAGCUUCAACCUUAGGUCAUGAGAUCUCGAUGGUGCCAACCUCACAAC